rnacentral:rRNA from 1 species
UAACAUUGCGAAAGCGAUGCUAAUACCGGAUAAGCUCACGAUUUGAUUGGUUGUGGGAAAAGAUGGCCUAGUCUAUGCUAUCGCUUGAAGAUGAGUCCGCGUACCAUUAGCUUGUUGGUAGGGUAAUGGCCUACCAAGGCAUCGAUGGUUAGCUGGCCUGAGAGGGCGGCCAGCCACACUGGAACUGAGACACGGUCCAG